GUGCUUAAUUCAGUGGCACAUAUACUACAUUUGAAUGGCUUAGAGAAGAUUAGUUAGCAUAGACUUAUAUAAGGAUGACAUGCAAAUUUAUGAAGCAUUCAAUACAUUU
rnacentral:snRNA from 1 species